rnacentral:rRNA from 1 species
GACGAACGCUGGCGGCGUGCUUAACACAUGCAAGUCGAACGAAGAGCGAUGGAAGCUUGCUUCUAUCAAUCUUAGUGGCGAACGGGUGAGUAACGCGUAAUCAACCUGCCCUUCAGAGGGGGACAACAGUUGGAAACGACUGCUAAUACCGCAUACGAUCUAAUCUCGGCAUCGAGGAUAGAUGAAAGGUGGCCUCUACAUGUAAGCUAUCACUGAAGGAGGGGAUUGUGUCUGAUUAGCUAGUUGGAGGGGUAACGGCCCACCAAGGCGAUGAUCAGUAGCCGGUCUGAGAGGAUGAACGGCCACAUUGGGACUGAGACACGGCCCAGACUCCUACGGGAGGCAGCAGUGGGGAAUCUUCCGCAAUGGACGAAAGUCUGACGGAGCAACGCCGCGUGAGUGAUGACGGCCUUCGGGUUGUAAAGCUCUGUUAAUCGGGACGAAAGGCCUUCUUGCGAAUAGUGAGAAGGAUUGACGGUACCGGAAUAGAAAGCCACGGCUAACUACGUG